rnacentral:rRNA from 1 species
GACGAACGCUGGCGGCGUGCCUAACACAUGCAAGUCGAGCGAAGUCUCUCUGGUGCCUGCCUUAGAAACAUUUAGCGUCGCACGGGUGAGUAACACGUAAAGAACCUGACUUUUUGAUUGGGACAACCAUUGGAAACGAUACCCAAUAACGGAUUACAGUAUUACUUGCAAGUGAGAUAUUCAUAAGUUGGUUAUUUUAAUACUUUGCGAUGGCUUUGCGGUGCAUUUGCUAGCUGGUGGGGUAAAGGCACACCAAGUCGACGAUGCAUAGCCGACCUGAGAGGGAGAUCGGCCACUCUGGGACGGAGACACGGCCCAGACUCCUGCGGGGGGCCGCAGUGGGGGAUCUUCGUAAAUGGGCGAGAGCGUGACGGAGCAACGCCGGGUGAGUGAAGAAGGAUUUCGGUUCGUAAAACUCUGUUGUUAGGGAAGAAUGGAUAUGUCGUAAGUAUACAUGUGAGGGACGGUACCUAACCAGAAAGCCACGGCUAACUCCGUG